GACGAACGCUGGCGGCGUGCUUAACACAUGCAAGUCGAACGGAAAGGCCUGCUUUCCCUUGUGGAUUGCGGGUACUCGAGUGGCGAACGGGUGAGUAACACGUGAGUGAUCUGCCCCCAACUUGGGUAUAAGCCUGGGAAACUGGGUCUAAUUCCCGAUAGGACUGCAGGGUGGUGCCUGUGGUGGAAAACGAUUUUCUAGUGGUUGGGGAUGGGCUCGCGGCCUAUCAGCUUGUUGGUUGGGUAAUGGCCUACCAAGGCGGCGACGGGUAGCCGGCCUGGGAGGGUGGACGGCAACAUUGGGACUGAGAUACGGCCCAGACUCCUACGGGAGGCAGCAGUGGGGAAUAUGACACAAUGGGCGGAAGCCUGAUGCAGCGACGCCGCGUGGGGGAUGACGGCCUUCGGGUUGUAAACUCCUUUCGACCGCGAGGAAGCCACCUGGUUGGAAGGGUGGUGACGGUAGUGGUAGAAGAAGCACCGGCUAACUACGUG
rnacentral:rRNA from 1 species